UAGCAAAAAAGUUUGGGAAACGAGAAUUUUAUAUAUUACAUAAUGAUUGAGUAUAGGGAUAUAUUGGUUUUUUUUUAGGUGCUUGUUACACUCAGAAGAAAGCGUUUCCGACCCCAUAAGUAUAUAUAUUCCUAUCAGCAUCCAGAUCCGAGAUAAUAUACAUACGUGGGAGAUAAUAGUAGAGAAAAACAAGACUAUAAAAAUACCAAAAAAGUGAACUUUUGCUUAUUUUAAUGUUUUCUGAUCAAAGAUCACAUCCCUUUUUGGGCAAAAUUUAAAACAUACAUAUUUGAUGUUCGUCAGUAGGGACUCCAAAUUUAUCAGAGUAAGUGGGUCUUGGAAAUGUUUGGCUGUUGCAAAGCCAAUUGCCAAUUUUAGACUCAGAAGAAUCUAUUCCGCAGGGUUAUCUACCUCUGGGGUUGUAGACCACUUUGACAGAAUCUGAUAACCUGUUUUGUGUUAAUGACAUUCAAAGGAUAAUUCUGGCUGUUAUAUGAUCCCUCUCAACCUUAAUAGAUUAAUCGUGUCUUUUAUGAAGUGGUUUUUAAUGUGCUUACCUCAAUCCUAAUUUAAAAGUAAUGUUUCUUUGUCGAGCUUUUAAUACCCGAUACUCUAAAAGAGUAUAGCGGUGUAUUCGAUUGUGCGGGGGAUGUGUGUUAUGCCCAGAAGGAAGCGUUUCCGACCCCGUUUCUUGAUCAGCAUCAAUAGUCGAUUGAGCCAUGUCUGUAUGUCUAGUUCUCAGAGACUAUAAGAGUUAGAGCAACGAAAUUUUGUGUCCCGACUCCUUUGAUAUCACACUGAAUCAAGCUUAUUUCGAAAUUUUCACACGCCCUCAUAAAGAACGAAAAUCUGUGGCAAUUUCAAAGAUACGAGAAAAUAAAAAUCGUAUAAUCAUUCUUAAUGACCCUACCUUGCAGACAGCAAAAUCUAAAUCAGAUCGGAUCAUUAUUGUAGACACACUCUUUGUCGUGCAUCAUGGAACAGUCAUACUGAUUACUGAUAUACUAUAUUAAAAUAUUUCGGUUGUUACCUACCUUUUAACUUGUUAAUCUGAGUGAUGAGUUACAUGUAAAUCUGAGUUACAUGUGAGUAUUUUUGCAACUUAAAAAAGUGUUUUCGAAGUAAUUUUUAAACGGUCGGAUUAUGAUGUCCUUGGAGCCUCUAGACGUUCUAUUUUUUUUUUACUGGAUUGGCACUGCUAGUUUCCUUUUUAAAUUUAUUUGAUUUUUCAGCACUUUAUUUAUUCCCGAAACAAAGAGCUCGCCAAUGUUAUAAGGAUGUAUUUAAAAUUUAUAUGAAACGGAUUACAAAUAUGUAAUUUUUAAAGUAAAAUACGCAUGUAAAAUUUAUCCGUUUGUCGUUUUUCACCAUUAAAAACAUUAUAUUUAAAACUUUAUCGUUCUGUUCAAGUUACAAAUAGAUGGAUAAUCUCUUAGAGAUAGAAACAUAAUCAAUUAUUCAGUUAAAUCUAUAAGCUGUACUGGGAAAUUCUAUUUUCACUUUAAUUUUUUUUUGCACUUCCAAAUUGGGAUUGGUAUAAAUUUUCUAAAUUCGCCUUUGCGUACAUUUUGUAGCUGUCUAUUUAGUCGUAUUGGCGAACUAGACUAGCCAAAGCAUUUCUUGUCCCUUUUUGUGGUGUUCUAUAGCUAUAUUGUAAGAGCAACCAUCUAUAACUAGAAAUUUCCUCUGGGUUUGCUUUAUUUUACAUAUGUUAUACACUUUCAUAUUAUUCCAUGUACUCGUAAUGCAAGAACCGCAAUAUCUAUUGAGAUAAGUCCAUAUCGAAUCAUAGGUAUAUUUUUAAAGAGCUCUCUUCACAAACCAGCUUUCUGUUUAAUUAAUUUUAUUACAAAUUUAAAUAUAUUGUUUUUGUUUUUUAUUCCCCUAAGUCGCUGUCUAUGUCAGCUCUCCGAGUACUGUGCUGUUUAGUUGGUUUCAUCAUUGAAUAAUGAGUUAAAGAAGGGAU